UCCAGCUUAUCGCUGGCGGUCUCCUGAGAGUGCUUCCCUUGCGGGAGUGGCAACACAGGACGAGGGUUGCGCUCGUUGCGGGACUUAACCCAACAUCUCACGACACGAGCUGACGACAGCCGUGCACCACCUGUGUGAGGCCCCGAAGGACACCGUAUCUCUACGGCUUUUCCCCACAUGUCAAGCCUUGGUAAGGUUCUUCGCGUUGCAUCGAAUUAAGCAACAUGCUCCGCCGCUUGUGCGGGCCCCCGUCAAUUCCUUUGAGUUUCAAUCUUGCGACCGUACUCCCCAGGCGGGGCACUUAAUGCGUUAGCGUCGGCACCCGGAGGGUCGCUCCCCCGGGCACCUAGUGCCCAUCGUUUACGGCGUGGACUAC
rnacentral:misc_RNA from 1 species